CCCAGAUCCACAGAAGUGACAAUGCUGAAUCCUUACCUGCUAGGCCACCAGGGAACAUAUAUAAUUUUAGCCAUUUCUCCCUACCACUCUCAGAACAAUAAAGGAACAGAAGAAGGAGGGAAAGGAAGAGGAGGACAGAGAAGAAAAUCAUCCCACUGCUGUGAGAAACCACCAUCGUCCUUCCAUGUCCAGCCUCUGUAAUUGUCAGACAUAGAUGAGUUCAGUCACAAAGGCAAAUCGACUGGUUCCUUUGGCACAGGGAACCCUUUGGGAGGCCAUGUGACAGUAUAAGUGUCUAAUAAGAUUUGGAUAUCUACUGCCUGGACAGACUUCAGUAAUCAUAAGGAAG
rnacentral:lncRNA from 1 species